CUGAUGUUUUUAACAAGGAUGAAGAAUGUAUCCUUAUCUUUAAUUGAUACAUGACUGCAUUAGGAAAACCUCUCCUACUCAUAAUUUCAUUUUAUACUUUCAUUCAGUUAUAGGAAACUAUUUUUAGCAAGACUAAGGUAUGAAAAAAAGUUUUUACAAUUGAAAACUUUCCACUAUUCCAGCUAAGAUGGAGCGGGGUUGCCUAGAAUUACUAAAUCUGUGCAGGGGAAGAGUCGUGAGGAUUCACCUCACCUAUUCCCUCUGCCACCCCUUCCCCAACAGCAUGAGCUCUGGGAAGAAGACCUGCUCAUCUCUGCUGCAGAGGACAAAGGCAAGACUCUUUUCUAGAGAAGGAAUGUAAGGGGAAGCUAAAAUGUAUCCUGAGACACUGGACUGGUUAAAAGUCAUUUGUUUUCUGAAAUUAAGGUGUUGUCAACAACGAUUUUUAAAAUAAAUAAUUAGACUCUUUAUAUUGAAAUAGUUUGAUUAUUCCUUUGAAGCACUAAGGUUAUUCUGUAGUAACCUGAGAAAUAUCUUCAUUGAAGAGAUGGCUUGACCUGGUUUUUUGUGCCAAUCUCCUUCCUUAUACCAAAACAAAAAAAGAUUUUCUUUUAAGAUACUGCAAGUGUCCAAGACAUAGAACUUUUUCCUGGAAGAAAGAGUCUUCUUUUAAAAAUCUCUUUUUGGUGCAGGAUUGGGCAAUAAUUUCACUGUCAGAACCUUUAAACUUAUCGAAGUGCUACCUGAGAUUCUGGAAUUAGGGUGGUCUUUUAUCUUUGGUGUUCCCAGAAAUCACGUAAUGACAGAGUGAGGGUAAUAGGAGUUCACUGUGCUCGGUUUCCCAGGGUACACAUUACUUCUUUGUUUCAUGUAAACGUAGCUAAAAUGAUAGAGUAUAAUGACUCCUCUUAGAAUUGUAUUUUUCUUUUAUUAUAGAGAUUGGUAAACACUUUAAGUGAUACAAAGAGCCAGAAGAAAAGCAGUGCUUUUUUAAAAAAUGUAAAGCCUUGUGGGACUUUAAAUAUCAGGUUGAAGGAAGACGGGGUUGUUGUUCAGAUUGUAAUGUCUGUGACCUUUGGGUGUUAGGCCUGGCUCACCUGAAACUGCUUGAAUUGUUUAUCCUUUUCACAUCUUGAUUGGUAAGGCUACAGUUUAAAACUUUCCCUUUUUUCACACAGAGACAUUUCAACAUCUCUUGACUACUUGGUACCACAGCUAUUCAGUAUGGGCGUUCCUUUGAGAUCAGUAGAAACAGCCCAGUACCCACAUUUUCUAACUACUUACUUCCUCAUUAACAUCUCCUACUUUACUGAAACUUCUGUCUUAAAUGUUAAAGCCAAUGGUCUUAAAUGUUAAAGCCAAUGAUCUUAAUCAGUACUCAUUCCCCAAAACCGCUAUUCGAAUUGGGCAUGGCUGACCAACUCUUCCCUCUUCAAACUCCCCUUUGACAUGUCUGAUGCCAUCACUCUAGUUCUACCCCCUACUUUUCGCCUUUCAUAUUUUAUUUUUGUUGCAAGUUUUUUCCACUUUCCUCCCUCUUUAACUUGGUGCUUUUCACUCUCCAUGUUUUUCUGAAAUAUGAGCUCUUUCUUAUGGCUUUAUCUACUAUUUCCAAUCUGGUAACUGAAAAAUCUAAAUCUCUUGCUCUGAUUUGAUGUCAGAGUUGCACUCUAGAGUUUCCCAGUUGCUGCCUGUAUGUUUAUCACUUGUGUAAUUAGUGCUAGGUGAAGUGUAAGUUGUGUUUCCCAUGAGUGAGUUUUAUUGUAAAGUUACUAGGAGCUUUUAGCUUCUAGUGGAGACAGACAUUCACUUUGGAACAGAUCUUUGCUUUCUUAAGUUAUACAAAUAUAAGGCUGAUAUUUAAUCUUGGGGUGGUUCUGAGUGAUAGUGAAGUUAUCUGUCACGGAGAUGCCAAGUGUUCUGCUUCAGAAGAUAAAAAUGUUCUUUUGCAUCUGUGUGGAUACUGCAGAUAAAAUUUUAUGACAAUAAAUUUGAAAAUUCAGAUGAAAUAAACAACCACAAUUUAUGAAAACUGGUGCAAGAAAAUAAAGUCUGAAUAGAAUAGUUAUAUUUAAGAAAUUGAAUCUCUCAUUUAAAACCUCCUUGGAAAGAAACAUCUAGGUCCACUGAAUGCUCUAAAUAUUUAAGGAGGAAAUAUUACUAAUAGCACUAAUAGCCAAUUACCAGCCCCUUAUUUAAAAAAGGAUCAACAGGCUAAUCUUACUCAUGAACAUAAAGGCAAAAUCCUAAUACAAUGUUAGUCACAAGAAUCUCACAGUAUGUUAAGCAUACAAAUCAUAUCACCAUACAAAAAAUAAAUUCAAAAUAGAUUGUGGGCCUAAAUGAGAAAGAUGACCUGAUAAACAUCUAGAAAAUAACAUGCAGAAUAUUUUAAUGACUAAGAUAUUCUUAAACAGGCAAAGAUUUCUUAAAUAGGACAUAAAAAGCUCUAAUCUUAAGCAUAUAGAUUGAUAAAUUGGACUACAUUAAAUUUAGGACUUUUAUUCACUAAAAGAUAGCCUUAAUAGAGUGAAAAAAAUGUAAAGCUGUGGACUGUAACAUAAAAAUCAUGAAGAAUGGUGUAGAAAAUAUUUAUGUUUCUAUGACCCAAUGUAAGAAUAAAUGUUUAUAUGAUAUAUAUUACAUAGAUAGUUACUGCCUGCUGUGUCUCUUGUUUACCAUUCUCUAAUCUAAUUACUCGCCUUCUCUUUCUAUCCCCUAGGGUUAAGCACUUUUCUCAAUGUUGUGUUCAUCUUUUCCCUGCAGGUUUUCAUAGUUUUAUAAGACAUGUACUUCCAAAUAAUCUAUAAUAGUUUAGUAGUUGGGGUCCCAACAGGAAAGUGAUGACACACUCAACUGGGUAAAUGGAGAAGUGUUUAUAAACAUACUAUUUGCAAAGGUGUGGUAAAGGUGUGGAAACACCAAAGGAUAAGGUUAGACUCCAGAACUAGUGGCUUAGGAAUUUCAUCACCAUCCCUAUGUCUCAAGAGUAAGAAAAGGUACUUAAAGAAAGAAUGUGGUGAGAAAAGCCUGCCUGGCAGGAGCUGGGACCUUUGGUCAGGAUAAACAUCAGUCUGCGAAACCUUGCAGGGAGGAAGUCAAAAGAAUGGACUCUGAUCUCAUACUCUUGCCUUAUAGUGCUCUGCAUUGGCAGAACUCAGCUGAAAUGCAGAAAGCAGGUGAGCCCAAUGAUGCAGAGGUCAGAGUUCAGCCUCACAGAGCGCAGAGUAUAGAGGAAGAGGAGGAGUGCAGCCGACAGAGCUGCACGCCUCUGUCAAACAUCCAGCAUUAAUGCUGUUUGCAUGUUAUGCCAUCAUAUUAAAUGUAUCAUGCACUCUUUCUAUCCUUUGGCCACUUGCUUUCUCCCUAAUUUUCCAGAACUUCUUCUGGACUUAGUAUUUUUACUAAUAUACUUUUUUUUUCUUUUUUUCUUCCUAGGCAAAUAAUGAUUCAAGAUGCACAUUUUGCUGUAGUCAAUCUGGUCUUUGUUAAGGUUUUUAGUUGCAAACAACAGAAUCCAACUUUACUAUUUUAAACAGACAGGCUAACCUGGGCUUGUUCAUAUGGUGGUGGAAGAUUUCCCAGCAGCAAGAGUGUUGGCUCCAGUAUACAGACCUUGUCAAGUCUCUGCCUGCAUCAUUUGCAUCUUUGACCAAACCAGACUCGUUUAUUGUGAAAUAGAGAGUGUGAGAUACACUGGAUGCAGAGAAGGUCAAAACUGAAUUGGAAGAUUUUAUCCAGUUCUGGCUUCUACAAGUGAGGGGGAGUAAAGACAACCCGUGGAAGGUGUGGCCUCUUUGAGAGUUCCCUUUGAUCAUCGUUGAACAAGAAAAUAUUUGGGUCUGGUUUACCAAAGGACCUACAAGAUUUUCUGGCACCACCAUUCCCUGGAGGGGUCAGCCAGCUACAUGUUGGCAGGAUGAUGGCACUGGACUAUUUCCAUCGUGGAAGGGGCAGCAUUUUGUCCUCACUGGAACAGACACUUGGUUAGAAUAUGAAUAUGCUUUCACUGUACAUAUUUGUUCUGCUAAAACCACCAACUGUAUAUGCCUUAUUCACUGUUAUGAUAUUCCACGUAGCAUUACUUCUGACCAAGGAACUCAUCUCACAGCUAAUGAAGUGUGGAUAAGGAAGGGACUUUUGAAGAUUUUGUUAUGUUCCCAAGUGGGGGACAUCAUCUUAUAGGGCUGGUGUAGUGUCCUAUGGAUGUAGUACAUAUCCCAAAUCAGCAACCAAAGUAUAGUGCUGUUUCUCCCAUAACAUGAUCAAGGAAUGGGAAUGAGAUCAGCUGCUCUUAGUUUACCCUUUGUGAUCCACUAACAGUAUUUUUGCUUCUAGUCCUGGUGACUUUGGGCUCUGCUGCUUUAGGGCAUUUUACUUUUCCAGAAGAAUAAUGCUUCUGCCAGGAAACACAGUAACACUCCUGUUAAAUUGGAAGUCGAGACUGCUCCCUGAGAACUGUGAUGCCAGUAAAUCAGCAUGCAAAUAAGUGGCUACUGGAUUGGCUGAAGUGUUUGAUGCUGACUAUCAAGGGGGGAAACUGGGUUUCCAGCAUAGAGUGGGCACGGGAGUAGGUGCUUUCUGGAAUACCCUGGUCACCUUGGGUACUGCUUUUUAUUCCCUUAUCCUGUGGCAAAAGUUAAUAUAAAACCAUGGUAGCCCAAUAAAGACAGGACUUCUCAUGGCUGACACUUUAGGAAUGGAGUUUUAAUCACUCCACCAGGCAUGGGAUCACAGCAAGGUGAGGUGCUUGCUGAGGGCAAGGGAAAUAUGAAGUGGGCAGUGCAAGAAGGAAGUCAUCAAUACAAGCUAUGACCAUAUGGCCAAUAGCAGAAAUGAGGACUUAAUAUUUAUGAGUAUUUCUUUCUUAAUUUUAUUUACAGGCAUGCUUCACUUAACGAGAGGGAUAUAGUCUAAGAAUUGUAUCAUUAGGCAAUUUUGUCAUCAUACUUACAUCUUGGAGUGUACUUACACAAACCUAGAUGGUAUAGCCUACUACACAUCUAGGCUGUAUGGCAGAACCCAUUUCUCCUAGGCUGUAAACCUGCACAGCAUGUUACCAUACUGAGUACUGUAGGCAAUUGAAGCACAAUGGUGAGGAUUUGUGCAUCUAAGCUUAUCUAAACAUAGAAAAGGGACAGUAAAAAUUACAGUAUAAAAGAUGAAGAAUGGUACAUGUGCAAAGGGCACUCACCAUGAAUGGAGCUUGCGGGACUGGAAGUUGCUCUUGGUGAGUCAGUGAGUGAGCGGUGGAUGAAUGUGAAGGCCUAGGACAUGACUAUACAGUACUGUAGACUCUAUAAACAUGGUACACUUAGGCUACAAUAGAUUUACUUCAAAAAAAUCUUUCUUCAAUAAGAAAUUAGCUUACUGUAGCUUAUUUUUAGUUUAUGAGCUUUUAAAUUUUUAACUUUUUUACUCUUUUGUAAUAACAAUUACCUUAAACACAUUGGAUAGCUGUACAAGAAUAUCUUCUUUUUAAUUUGCAUUUAAAAGCUUUUAUCUCUUUUUAAUUUUUAUUUUACUUUUUAAAUGUUUCGUUAAAAAUGAAGACACAAAUACACACAUUAGUUUAGGCCUGCACAAAAUCAGGAUCAUCAAGAAAUCACUGGCAAUAGGAAUUUUUUGGCUUCAUUAUAUUCUCAUGGGACCAUCAUCGUAGACUGAAACAUCGUUACAAGGUGCAUGACUGUAUAUGUGUGUAUGUGUAAAAAUUACUUAGUACCCCUCUUCUAUUUUUCUAUAAUCCAAUAUAAGGCAUGUUAAUAGUGGUUAAUGUCAUAGUUCAAUAUUUAAGUUACAGAAUAUCAGCGGGAGAGUGUGACUAUAAGGCUGUUUCAUAGAGAAAGUGUCUUUUUGGUUGUACAAAUUGUAGUUGCAUCAUGUUCUAACAUGUUUACCUGGAAGUUAAAUAUGCUUAAAAGAAGUUUGUAAGGGUACCAAGUUGACAAGGAGUGGGCUGUCAUAUUUUCUUCUUUUGCUCAGUGUCAAAUUAACUGAGCUAGAAAUACAUUUCUGAGAAUGCCCUUCCUUCUAUGGCUCCUGAUUAAAAUUGGCCACAAGAGAAAUUUGCACAAGUUUUGCAAGGUAAAAGUAAAGCAGCAGCCAUUACACCUUGAAGGAUGAUGUAGGGUUCCAGGCAUCCCUGAAGUUCAUGCACAUCGUCAUGGAGCUGCUCAGCCAGUCCUGUGCCAAGGUGAGCUAGCAACUGAGCUUGUAGCCAGUAACUGGGUUUGUAGCUGUCUCAACUCCCAUUGGAUCUCAUCCUUCAGCCCUUCCAUGUCCUGUACUAGGCACAUUUGCAGGUCUGUGGGAAAGGGCACCAGCUUUUUCUGUGUGUCACCCAUCCAUGUCAUCAAGGUUUGAGGUGGUGAGACAGGCAUGGGUUCCACUUUUUCCUUGCAGAUUCCAGUUGGUCCUUGAUAUAUGCUAGUUCAUGUCCAGCAUUUUUUCUUGACUGGCAGCCCUGAUGACCUACAACAGCAUCAAAACCAUAAACCGAUGUAGCAGCAACAGCUUUCCAUAGACUUUUUCAGUCUCAAAAAUUAUGCGUCAUCUAGCUCCUAUAACAAACCUGUACUUCCAUAUCACUCAUAAUGGUUCUGCUUUCUGAGUUCUAAGUGAUAUAGUAACUGAGGACAUAAUGAUCUCUUUUUAGGAAAAAUUACAGUGUAUACAACCAUUAUUAAGAGUCAUUUUUAAUUUAUAAUAAUUGUUGCUUUAAGCAAGGUCUCCUAAGUUUAUGUGUUCCUUAUGACCUCAGCAGGAGAUAAUUUUUGUUUUUGUUUCAAAUGCUUACAGUUUCGCUUAAGGAUCUUUCUUUAGUGUUUUAAUAGAAUCAUCAUUCUCAGGAUACUGUAGUAUCUUCCUUAUAGUUUAAAUGGAGCAAAAAAUAAACAAACGAGGUUUUAAUUAACGAAUGUGCUAGUAGAUAUUCUAUAUUUACACACACUAGUUUCAGUUCUAUCUUGAGUAUGAGUUUGUGUGUGUAAAAAAGAUAAAGAGAGAGAAAAUAAUCUCUGUAAUAAAAAACAGAGAAUGGGGGAAAAACCAGAAAUUUCUUUCCUUACAAUAUUUAAGGAUAGGCUUUCAAGAUUUUAGCUGUAUCCAAAUACUUAUUCUUAAAAUAAUCCUGCUAUCUUGGGCAUAACCUUCAAAUUUGAAGAUUCUAAAAGGUUCAUAGGUGGAAUAAAUUCUCUUUUCAAAAGAGACCCACCUUCAAUGAAGAGGGCUGCUUACCCAUACAUAAUUGAACAUCGGUUUCUCCCCUAAUGAUGACCAGAUUCUCAGAAAUCGGGCUACAUUUUUUUAACAGUCAGCUGGGAUCAUAGGGAGUUAAUAAUUGCCAUCACCAGCUCCACUGAAUCAGAGGUUAGAACCAAUUAGAGAGUAAGUAAAUGGAGAGUUAAAAUGUCAGCUUUUUCUUUUUUUAACUGAUGAAGGCAGGCUGGAUAAGGUGGAGUUUUUAAAAAGUGUGUGGGAGGAUAAGUGUCAAGAUGAACUUGCUAAUAUUUUACCUAUAAAAUGGACAGACUCACCCACACAGUCACAAAUAGCUGGGGAUAACAGCAGGCUCUGCUAAGGUAACUGCAUAACAGUCCAUAUCUUCCCAGAAAAAGAAUCAUUUUUUGCUUGCUGCUUUGCUAUGCAAUUAGGAACUCAUUGUGUACAAUCAAACUCUCUUCUCAUCCUUACCAAGCAGCUCCUUUGGUGAUGUGACCCAGACCCUCAUGUCUGAGAGGGCUGAGCUCCUGGUCACAAUUAUCUUCCUGUCAUUCCAGUGUUUGAUAUUAUUUUAUGUGGCAUUGCCUUAUUCUCUGUGUAUAUACAGCACUUCUCUAACUUGGUUGUAAAUUGUUUAUAAGUUCAUGUUUCAUGCUUGCAUUCUGAAUCAUUGCCCUUACCAUACAGAAUGCCAGGCACAUAAUAGUUGCUCAAAUUAAAAAAUAUAUCAAAUACAUAAAUGAUUGCUAGGUGCAUGUUGUAGGUCAUGCAGGUCAGCAGGUCAUCUUUCCAGGGAAGUAGACUCUGAAAUAGAGAUUAAUGUGCAGAAAUUAGGAACUACGUGUAGGAUCAAGCGCUGUGGCAGAAGAAAAGAAGACAAGAUGGGGCAGAGGGAGGAGCUGGGCUAUGUUGACAUUUCAGCAAAGCUCUUCGUUAAACCCAUAUAGGGCUCUACAGCUGGGAUGGCCCUUCAAUGUUAUUCCCGGUUUAAGAGAGUCAGCUGAGCUUUAUACCACAGUGUCGGCCAUUCAUACCAUUCAUUGGCUACAGGCUUCUCCCAGGGAGGAGUGUGGCCUUGGCAAGGUAGCUCCCCAGGUGAGUGUAAUUCCUGUGAGGCUGGCAGCUGGGAUCUGUCAUCCCACAGCACUCCCAGAAGCAUAAGGAUUAUGUCCCUUAGUACUAAAGGGAGAUCAAAGUGGUGCAUCAGAGCGCCCACUACGGACCACCCCUUAUGAUGUCCCGAUCCAAUUCUUUGUGUAGACUCUGAGAGCAGCAAAUUCUGGUGGACCUCUUGUCCUGGGAGAACCUUAGAUGAAGGCGAGUGGGACAAACAGCUUCUCAACACCUGAGCUGAACUUGUAGCCACAACUGUCACUCAUCAGCUUUUCCCUCUACUAUCCAUUCUGCAUGCUGCUCAUUCUCAGCUAGCACAUCUUCCAUUCUCGGGUGGCUCUGAAACAGACCUUCGGGGUCUUAGGAAUCUGAGCCCAUAACCAUCAUGCCCUUCUCAGGCCAUGGCAUAUCAUUUGUUCAUGAAUCACAAAAACUGAGUGAGCAUAAGUAGACACAUCAAAAGGAAUCACCUGGGUGCCAACCCUAUUCCACUAUGCCCCCACUGUGUAACAGGAUUUCUACUUUCUCCUGAUGGUUAGGGCCAAUUACUCUUUCCAGAAAUGGUGACUUGUCUUCUUGGCUGUGGUCUGUUGGCAUGGAGGGCCGUAAGUGUGUGGGCAAUGGCUGUAACUUAAGGUUCAACGGGACUUCUGCUGUGUCCCUAGGUGGAUGUGUUCUUUGAGAACCAGGACCUCUAUCCCCACAGUAUCUAGAGUUGGGGGAGGGGCAGCUCAGAUCCACGUAGUGGGUCACUUGGAGGGAUGUUAAGUGGGGUCUCUCACACUUCCAUCUCAUGCAUCUUUUCUCACACCAUGUGUCUCCUAUUUGAUCGUAUCUGCUGGGAAAUAAGGUCAUAAAUUCAGCUUGGACCUGCUGCAGAACCCUUUCCAGCUGUGUCCUAUUCAAAGCUGUCAGACUUUCCUUACAUCUGAUAUCUAGGCUGGAGAACUAUGCCCAGGUGUGGAACAUGCUCCCUCUUAACACCUGAAGACAUCCACCAGCUGUUGUGCAUUCUUCUCUGUGGUAGGGCACAUGAGAUGCAAUAAUUUGAAUUUGUCUUUUACUUUAGAAGGCAUAUCCUGGCAUGCCCCAGACCACUGGACUUUUAAAAAGUUUACUGCUGCGUCAGACCCCUAACUCUUCCUAAGAAGGGGCUCCUCUUUCUGUAGUUUCUAUGUAUUAUUAAAGCCUCCAAAGCACUUGCAAACUUCUUGUGUAUCUGGUUUAAUUAGUAUAAAAUCAUCAAUGUAGUUGAUCAAAGUGAUCUGUCUGAUAACAUGACAGAAGUCAAGAUAGAUAUCAUAGUCUUGGGCAAGACUAUUCACUCUUGAUCCUUCUGAGUGAACAUGAAUUGAUUCUGAUUCCCCUUUGUCAUGCUCAGGGUCAGGUUCCGUCCCCAGCUGAGGGCUGAGGGGAGUGGCUGGUCGUGGGACAGGGAGCUGGAAGAACAUUCGAGAGACAGCAGGUAGAUGAGACAUGGCUUUAUUCAGCAGCCUUUUCACAGGAUCAGUGUUACAUUUCUACACUAUACAAACAAUAGUGGCUGAGAGCCAGGUGGGGAACUUCUCUAUGUUAUGUCUACAUGGCUAUGAUUAUAUAAGACAUGGGACUGUGCGCCUGUGUCACAAACCUGCUGAGUCAUCCAGGCUGUUUACCUCAGCCUAUGCCUGCUGCCCUAUGCCUGCUUGGCUGCAGCACAACCAUGUUCCUUACACCCUUUCUGAUAAAAAUGGAGAGUGAUAAAUUUAUAAGAUUUGAAGUUACCUGCAUGAGCAAAGCCAUGCUAAUCUGCCCUAGCAGGGAUAGUGCAUCUAGCACAGAAUCUUGGGGCCAAUGUUUGGGUGAGGUUGUAGUGGUCUAGUAUCCUCUUCUAGGAAACAUUUCACUUUUGUAGGGAGCAGACUGAUAAAUUUGUUGGAGAUAUAUUAAGGGCUAUAUCUUCUGCAUCUUUUAGGUGGUUAAGAAUGACGCUAAUCUCUGCCCAUUCACCAGGAAUGUGGUCUUGUUUUUGACUAUUUUGACUGAGUCUUCUUGGUUUCCACUUGAUUUUCUAUAGAAUGAUAUCUCUUACCCCACAGUCCAAUCAACCAAGGUUGGGAGUAGGGUGGGCAAACUACCACUUAUAUCCAAUCAAUCAUAUUUUACUAAUGAAAUGGUUGAUGGUGGGUCUGUGAACCUAUUGGAUUUUUGUAAGCUGGAUCUCAGCCAGGAUUAUAAUUUAUUACCUGAGUUCUACCCACUCUGAGUGCCCUUACUCUAACAGGGAGGCCCCGAUGUUCGGAUGAUCAAGUAUCAGUGCCUAAUGUAUUCAAUUGUUCUCAAAAUUCUCUUUCCACAGUUUAUAAUUACCUAAGUAAAGGACAUCUAAGCUGCAUCUAAUCAAGAAAUGAAUCAGGGUAAUUUUUACCAUAGGCAUUUGCCAUAGUAUUGCAGGUCUGUUCCCUCUGGAAAACUCACCUCUCUUUAAGUCAGUGGGUUCUGUGUUGCAAAACUGGGGUAAAUGUGGAAAAUGGACAGGGCUUGUGACUUUUUAUUGUAGUAGUGGCCCUCAGUCUCUUGAUUAUCUUUUCCUGAACUAUUUUGUUUGUAGAUUUUACAUCACUGCAGGCUAUACAUUUAUUUUGCCCCUGAGAAUACCAUGUUCUAUUAAUCAUCUUUAUAGCUUUCCAUGGAUCAAGUCCCUGAAUGCUACUCUGCCUUUGCCACUUCAUUUGAUAAUUGGGCCCGUCUUGCCUCCUAUGGUUAAAUGGUGGCCACUUUGGAUAGAUGGAAGGAGGAAGCCUAUCAUCCACAUAGCCAUUAUUGAGUCCAGUUCCACAACAGCAUCUCCUACUAUCAGCCUUAAUUUACAGGAGAAUGCCUCUUCUGAACUUCUCAGUGAUGUGGGUACCCAUCUCACUCACUUUGGUAAUUGCCAUGCCCUCCAGGCCUUCCCAUAGGAUGUAUUCAUCUGGUGUAUUUCCUAGACUUACACAGUAUAUAUGUUCUUGCAUGCCAACUUUCCUAACCCUUUUGCUCCCUACUUUUACUGCCUGCCAUGAUAUUUCUGGCAUUUCAAGUUCAUUUCAUUUAGGUCACUGCUUUCUCCAAGUUUCACAAGCUAUCCCAGCAGAACAUUUAUACUUUGUCCAAGAUUCUUGCCAGGGUAUCACAUCCUAUAUCCUUGGAGAGGGCUUUAAUAGUAAAUGCUCUCUUGUCCUUUUUUAUAUUCUAUCCCACCUCUCCUUAAUCAAAUACCUUUAGAAUCCAGGCAUGUAGUACUCCCCAGUUUCCUUCUGGUGCAAAUUGACUCCAUGUGUGCAUAUUCACUUUCCUUCCUUGGCAAGCCCAACACUUCUCUAGUUGUCUUAUGCUGCACCUUAACGCUAUGUGUUGGCCUGGAGCCAAGGGGAGUACAUAGUGGCAGAUCCUGAGAGGGGCGCCUCUUGUCUUGUAGUGAAGGGGUCUCUGCAUUGUCUGCAAGUGAUGAGAAAAGUAUGGAGUCUUUAUAGGGAGGCGUGAGCUACUUACGCAGGCUCAGAGGGCUUAAUAGAAUUAGGAGAUUUGAGAUAUUUUAGUUCAUCACCCCAAAUGUCCCCAUCCCAUGUUUCUAGGUCCCAUUCUUUCCCAUUAGGCCUCUACCCUUAGCAUAGAGGACCUGACUAGGUUGAGAAUUUACCAACUUUGGAAACUGCUUGGUCCUCAGCUUUCUUUAUCUUUGCUCUAGAAAAUGAAAGCCUUUAUAUGCUGCCUUGGAGGCCCUCUAGUGUUCACACUUAGCUUGUAAUUGAUGAGUAAUCACCUUUAGCCUUUGUCAUCUUUCACCAGAACAUUAAUUGUCCCCAGCAGUUGCCAUUCAAUUCUAUUAUCUUUAUCAUUACCAUUUCCCCAUUUCUUUUCUGAAAGACUUGACACAUUGCACCUGCACCUGCCUGUGCACUUUCCUCCACAGCUGUACCAUUCCAGUUCACCUUUAGUGAAAGGUUUAACAAUUGCCAUGUUACCUUACACCAAUAGCUAUUCCUAAUCCCGUUAUUGGGUAUUCAUUGCCAGCCAGCUGAUGAGUGAUCUAGCUCCAAAAUCCCAUCUCACCAUCUGUGCCUUUCCUUAACUGAAGGCAAUUCCUGUGCUUUUUCCUUCCUAGGAUAAUUGAAAACUUUCCUAAUUGUGGACACAGUGAUAAUAAUUUUUUUAUUCUUGAUAAUUCCCUGUUAAACAUCUGACUGUCAGGGUAUAUGCUAUGCACUAGGCACAAGGUGAACCAAAUGGAGAGUGAACAGGUUUUCCCUCCUCAAGGAGCUUGCACGUUGACUCUCCUUCCUUCUGCUGUAAUUCGAUGAUUUAGAACAAGUGAAAGAUUUGUACUUUUUGUAUGUCUAAGAUGAACAUCAUGCAGUAUUGAAUCUUGUUUCUGAAACCUGAGAUUAAUUUAAAUAUGAGACACUCUCCUUUCAUCUAGUUACAUGGAGUCAUGCAAACAUAAAAUAUAUAAUAGCAAGAUGGCUGGAGCCUGAUUCAUUUCUUGAUUAGAUGAAGCUUAGAUGCAGGAAAGAAAAGUUUUGUAUUCAGAUCCCCUGAGUUCAAGUUUUGCUUUUACUAAUUACUGGUCAGGCAAGUCACUUGAUCCUUCUAAAUUAUUCUUCUGUAAUCAGAUUAUCUGUGUUGCACAGAGGUAUGUCAACAUGAAAAAGCACAUUUUCAAAUGUUUUUUUCAGUGUGGUCCAAGGAUCCCUUGGGAAGGGGUUUACUUUUGCAUUAAGUAUUUAUAAACACAGAUUUGUUUUAUAUACAUUAAUUAAAGUAACUUAAAAACAACAGAUUGAAUGUAGAAGAAUCGAACUGUCUUCCAUUCAAUUAGUCAUGAAAGAGUUCUGCAAAAGGGUGAAACAAUACCAUUAUUCUCACUAGGCUUUUGUCUAUUUUGGAAAGUAUAGAUUUUUAAAAAUAAAAGUGUGUUGUUUAUGUUAACAUAUAGUGGGUUUAUUGUUAUUUUAGGUGAACUAAUAAAUAUGCAUUUUAAAUAUG